rnacentral:lncRNA from 1 species
AGGAACCAGUUCAAGUGGUAUUAUUAUUAUUAUUAAUGAUUAUUUGUUUUUAUAAUGGUGUUUUGGUUUGAUGGUUUGCUUUGUGACAAUUUUAGUUGAUGUUAAUUUUAUUGUUCUGUUAUUUAUAAGCCUAAGAAAAAUUAAGAACUUUCAAUCUCUCAUAUUUGAGUAUAUAUGUUUGAAAAGGAGUAUCAUGCCAAUAUAUAACAAAAAUAUUACAUGAAAACAAAAAUCUGGUAUAAAAACAUGUCAACCAGCUUUAGAUUAUGAAAAAAGAUGUUUCUCAUUAUUGUGUUUCAUUCAUUUUUGGAAUGUAAACUCAUUGUCAUUUUUGUAUUCCAGACCCAUAUUCAUUUUCGGAUUUCN